AUACGUAGGUGACAAGCGUUAUCCGGAUUUACUGGGCGUAAAGGGCGUGUAGGCGGUCUUGCAAGUCAGAAGUGAAAUUCCUGAGCUCAACUCGGGCGCUGCUUCUGAAACUGCAGGACUUGAGUGCUGGAGGGGAGAGCGGAAUUCCUAGUGGAGCGGUAAAAUGCGCAGAUAUUAGGAAGAACACCGGUGGCGAAGGCGGCUAUCUGGACAGUAACUGACGCUGAGGCGCGAAAGCGUGGGGAGCAAACAGGAUUAGAUACCCUGGUAGUCCACGCUGUAAACGAUGAAUACUAGGUGUAGGGGGUAUCAACUCCCUCUGUGCCGCAGCAAACGCAAUAAGUAUUCCGCCUGGGGAGUACGGCCGCAAGGUUGAAACUCAAAUGAAUUGACGGGG
rnacentral:rRNA from 1 species